rnacentral:misc_RNA from 1 species
GAUGAAGAACGUAGCGAAAUGCGAUAAGUAAUGCGAAUUGCAGAAUUCCAGUGAAUCAUCGAAUCUUUGAACGCACAUUGCGCCCCCUGGUAUUCCGGGGGGCAUGCCUGUUCGAGCGUCAUUUCACCACUCAAGCCUCGCUUGGUAUUGGGCAACGCGGUCCGCCGCGUGCCUCAAAUCGACCGGCUGGGUCUUCUGUCCCCUAAGCGUUGUGGAAACUUUCGCUAAAGGGUGUUCGGGAGGCUACGCCGUAAAACAACCCCAUUUCUAAGGUUGACCUCGGAUCAGGUAGGGAUACCCGCUGAACUUAAGCAUAUCAAUAAGCGGAGGA